rnacentral:rRNA from 1 species
AUUGAACGCUGGCGGCAGGCCUAACACAUGCAAGUCGAGCGGAUGAAGGGAGCUUGCUCCUGGAUUCAGCGGCGGACGGGUGAGUAAUGCCUAGGAAUCUGCCUGGUAGUUGGGGAUAACGUCCGGAAAUGGGCGCUAAUACCGCAUACGUCCUGAGGGAGAAAGUGGGGGAUCUUCGGACCUCACGCUAUCAGAUGAGCCUAGGUCGGAUUAGCUAGUUGGUGGGGUAAAGGCCUACCAAGGCGACGAUCCGUAACUGGUCUGAGAGGAUGAUCAGUCACACUGGAACUGAGACACGGUCCAGACUCCUACGGGAGGCAGCAGUGGGGAAUAUUGGACAAUGGGCGAAAGCCUGAUCCAGCCAUGCCGCGUGUGUGAAGAAGGUCUUCGGAUUGUAAAGCACUUUAAGUUGGGAGGAAGGGCAGUAAGUUAAUACCUUGCUGUUUUGACGUUACCAACAGAAUAAGCACCGGCUAACUUCGUG